ACAUCGGUUCUACUUAGAACCACCUUAAAAAGUAUUAUAUUCUAAG
rfam:Glycine soja cultivar W05 scaffold5746_5, whole genome shotgun sequence.